UAAUCAUGUUGCAGAAUAACUGUGGAGUUACAAAAUGAUGGGGCACUUAAAAUGUUAUCUCCUUCCAAGCACCGAGUGUUCCAAUUCUGCCUUAAGGGGACAUUAGCUGAUCGUCAAAUCACAAUGAGAUUCUUAUGACUUUGUUUGAGCAAACAGUUUUCAUAAACGUUAACAUUUUAAUGGAUGAUUACGUUCCUAUUUAGCUACCAGACGCAUUCAUUUUGAUCGAUGCUAUUUCCGUCCCUACCGAAGGCAUUAACUAAUGAUUCGUCACUUGCGGCCGAGAGCCGCUCAAAUCUCUCUUAAACAAACAACUUUCUUUGCGGCGCGUGCCCAGACGGAGCCGCCCGACAGCAGCAGCGAUGCGGGGCAGCAGCGGCGCCGUGACCCCGGGGCAGCAGCGCUGCUCUGCGGGCUCGCGCGGCGCUCGUCCGCCCCGCUGCAAUCCGUGCAGCGCCCCGCGCGUGCGGGAUGCGCCGCCGAGGCAGCCGUGCCCCAGGCAGAGGGGCAGGGCGGCUGCGGGCACUGCGGGGCUGUGCGGUGCUCUGUCCCCCUCUUGUGGCAGCGAGCCGGAGACCGGGGCCGGAGGAGCUGCAGGGUGCCGCGUGCGGUGCGGAGCUGGGUGCUGGGAGGUGCUGGGAGGUGCUGGGAGGUGCUGUAGGGUGCCUCGCGCCCGCCGCCCUCCUCUCAGAUCGAACCAACGGCCUCGGAGGAAACGUAAGGCACGUGCGGUACCGGCUGUGCUUGUUGAAGCUUACAGAGAGUGAGAAAAAAAUGGAAUUUGGAUUUUGCCUUGCAUUGUAGGGCUGCGUGUGGCCCGGCGCAGCUGUGUGGUGAAUUGUGUGGGUGCGGGGCUGAGCUCAGAGAAGACGAGGAGUUUCAGCUGGGCUGAGAUCUGGUGUGAGGUCAUCCUGAAAAGCAGUAUCUUCACCUGAAAAAGAGCACACAAGGCUGCAGAGGAAGCCCUCCAUCUGCUGCUGGCUGAGGUACUUUGCCUGUUAUCCAAUGCAGUGCUCUUAACCUCUGUGCUGAGCUCCACUUUCAGCCCACAUUUGUGUACCUAAGUUUCUUCUCCCAACGUCUGCUUUGCUUUUGUUUUUGGCUAUGAGCAUUUAGAUUUCAAAACUGAAUCAGCUGUGCCCUCAAACCACCUCUUUACCCUUCAGAUCCCUGCUUCUCUGCUGCCUGGGGUGGGGCGGCUCAGGGCACAGCCUUUGGCAGCUGAUGUGAAAUGCAUUGAAGGUGUCACUGCGAUGGAUUGUUAGAAAAGCUGGGGUCACUUCUCCUCCACAUUAGUGCAGUUAGUUUAAGGACUUUUUUAUUUGCAAAUGAAACAAGGCCAUAAUCAUGUAUGCUUAGGCUCCUCAUCAGACAUACCCUGCACCUGGUUGAGGUUUUGCUGAGAUAUAAGCUGUGUGGAGCACCUCAUUGCUCUUUCCAGCAAGAGUAGCAAAUCCCUGCUCAGGGAAUUCCUCCAACUGUGAGUACUUGUGACCUUUACUCUCUUCUUCUGAUAUUAUUUUCCACAAAUAUGCAUGCAAGUGUAUCUUUAGACAACUCCACAGCCUAUAGCAGGCAGUCUUUUAACAACUCACACAGCUCUUUAUACCAGAAAAGCAUUUUUGAUAGUUUUGAAGUAAGGAACCAGGAGGAGAUAUAGAUGCUUUUCUAUUUUCAUAAUAUGCAUUUAGCAGCUCUCUCUAAGAUGUUUGAGAACCAAAUGCUUUCUAUGUUUACUUAUUAAGCUCUUCUCCUGCCUGUUGAGGUGUGGGUAUCCUCCUGCUCGCCAGAUUCUGGAAGCCUGAUAGGCUGUGUUGGCUCUGGAGUUCCAGAAAGGGAACCUACUGCAGUAGAUAACAUUUUAUCUUCCAAAGGAGGGCAUAAGUGGCAUUACUGCAGGGCCUGCUGCAACAUGGGCUGUUACAUAGCAUUGGUGCUUUGUUUUUCCUGCUUGUCAGUGAGUGCUUCAGUUGCAGCUCUUCAAAUCACUUUAAGUGAAAAGCUUUAUUUUGAAAUUAAUACGUCUCAGUUCACACCCAAGAAAUGUGGAGACUUAAUGACAUUUUUACAUUAGGACUUCUCAAUGCUCUCAUAAAAGAAAUUCCCAAUAUUUUAAGUGCUCUGCAACCAGAGAGGGCUGUCCUUUACUAAGAACAGUGGAGUGAAAGCACCCACCUGCUGCAGAUUAGUUUGAGUACUGUUUGUGUAGCUCAGCCUGGGUUAAUCACAUCGGAGCUCAGCUGGAGAAGUAGCCAUGAAUUCUGUUGCCAGCUAACUGCACAGGGCUGCACCUGUUUUUCAAAGGCAAGGGAGAAAGCUGCUCUGAGUGACUCGGUUACAAGUCAGGCAAGUUAUUUUCAGCGCUGCUCGUAAAGAACAAAGAUAAGAACUAGAGAAAAUGAAAUCAACAGGGAAGGGAAGGCAAUCUCACGUUAGCUGAAGGUUUGGCCACACUGCUAUGUUUCAGCAGCAGGUAUGUCUGCUUGUGUUCAUGAAAUGGCAUGAAAUGCACCUUUCAAGGUAACCCCGGAGCUGGAGAAGAAGCAAGCUGGCAGGGAGGAGGAGGGGUGAUGUUCAGCUCCCUGCCAUGGAUGCUCAUUGCUGCCUUCCUGGGGCUGGGGAAGCAGCUGUGUUCCUUCGCAGAGCUUUGGUGAAUUAAUUUUUCUGUGUAAGAAUGGCAUUUUCUCAUUAGAAAAAAGUAUGUGAUGUGUUCCAGUCUGUACUGUGAAAGUCUGAAUGAGGUAACAAUCUGGCUCACCUGGAAGCAUUUCUGGUUUUACAACCUUUUACAGCCCCCUGUGCUGGAAGGGACAAAGCAAGGAUAAAGGGCAGCUUGUUGUGCUCUGAAACAGCUCCAUUUCUGUGCUGAGUGCACCGCUCUGUGCGGAUGGAGCAAAGUUACAGCCAUUAGAGUUAUAAAAAGAGAUACGACAGCCUCUAAUCUAAAUCUAAAUCAGAUCUUGAAAGAUCAAUCAGUGAUUGUUCCUAUCAUCAGCAGUAACUUCAUCUCACUGAGCUCUUUGAUGCCGGAGAAAAGUCUGAGAUAAGAACCAGAGAUCUGAAUUCAAAUGGGGAAUCAAGAAGGCAUUUCUUCCGCUUGAUUUUUCCUCUCAAUCUGAGCUAUAGUGUGUGUUUAUUAGGAACUUGUUUCUGACUUCCUCGGUAGAAAUUCACGAUUCCCAUUGUCUGCAUGUGCUGCCUGUGCUUCGUGCUAGAAAUUACUUUGUACGGUUUACUGAUCGGGCAUUUUUUAGCUGAAAAGAUUGAAACAGAAGCAAACAAACAGCUGUGUUUAGAUCUGACUGACCACUAAAAAAAAGCUCCUUGCUGCUCUGCCCUGAGCACGUGCUGCAGUGCCAGCCCCAGGUUUGCUCUGUGCGGAGCCGUGCAGCUCAGCGCCCAUCCCUGAGCUGAGCAGUGCUGCCCCAGUCCUUGGGGGCCCUACAGGAGGAAAAGCAAAUGUAUAACCACACACAGCAAAGUUACUGAGUGCCUCUGCUGUUGUUUAUACGUUUAGAUGCUAUGAUUAAAUUACAUACAUAAUGCAUAGUGUUUGUAAUACAUUAUUAAUAAUAAUAAUACCGUCUUGUAUUAUUCGGCUGGAAGAAGCCUGCUCCGAGUGAUGGUUCAUUGGCCUAUUCACACACAAUUUUCAUACAUCUCUAAAGAUUACCAUUUUAACAGCUUUCUGUAUGGAUACUGCCAGGCAGUUACAUUUAACAGUGCAUAAAUCUAAUUCCCUCUGCACUCAAUUUUCUCAGGCAGCAGAAUCAAUUUGAAUCUGUCAGGAUUUUAUUCUAAAGUCUAUUAAUGACUCCUGCCUUUUUCUGUAUUUUUUUUUUCCCCUCUCUGUCUCUCUCUUAACAAUCUCACUCUUUCAUGAAUUCAUUUGGCUGCAGAAAGAGAUGCCCCACUGAUACAAACACUCUUUUAUCUCUUUACAACGGAAACCUAAUUAGGUGUGAAGGAGACACAAGGAAGGUCACAAUUAGCCCUCCAGCAAUAAAGGUUAACGGUUGUGAAAUCCUAUAAUAAUACUGUUGAACUUUGUUAUUAUCAAUAAUGAUGGCCUUUGACAAGGUCAAGCUCAUUACUCUUCGCCCACACCUCCCCUUGCCCUGCAUCCCCACACGUGGUGCUCCCAGCGCAUCUCCUCCAGAGCUUCCAUCUGCUGGGCAGGUUUUGCCUUGGGCUGGUGGAGCAGGAUUGCUCACCAUGCCUUUUAAUUAUUGGUUUAAAAAAAAAACCAUGUGUAUUUUCUUUCCCAUGCUUGAGUGAAGUGAUUCUGCUCAAUUAAGUAUUUAAAUGGAGGUGGUAGCAAGAAAGUAAUAGGUGUUGCAUCCUGGUAGUACAGCAUUUCAGAAUGGAAUGGAAACAAUUAUGUGCCUUGCCAUUACAAGCCAAUGGAUCUCUGACACCUGCAGAAGGCUUCUGGGGAGUAACGCCACAGUGAGCAUCAUUUGUUCUAUCUGCAUCCACUCUCACAUCUCUGCAAUGAGAUGGAUUGUGAACUAAACAUUUCAAAUGGCAUUUUAAUGCUGGUUUUAUGCCUGCUGAGGAGUGCUGUGGAACAACUUGAAUCUGUCAGAUGUUAACUUCCCUGCUGCUUUUCUGUAGGUCUGCUGAAGGAGCAGGGCCAUGCCUGUGACUGAGGAACCUCUUUCGUAGUUGUGUUUCCUUGCAUCUGGCAGUGUAGUUCCACAGCUGUCGAUACCAGAUUUGUGCCCUGGUCAUCUUGUCCUGGCCAGCUGUGGCCCUGUGAUUUCAUUUGCAGUUCAAGAAGUGCAGCACGUGACAGGGAAUCAAUGCCAACUCAGCACUUUCUUGCAGUGUCAGUUUGGGCAGUCCCUGAUGUGAUGAGAAGUGUCCCUGCACAAAGCACAGUGCAUUGGACCCUCUGACAGCAGCUUUGCUGGCAUCUGGCAUGAGGUACUUGGAAUCCAAAGCUGGAAUGUGCUGCUUGCUUCUGUAUGUUUGCUUGGCUUUGUGGCUGUGCAUUGGGUCAAGAAUGUCAUUUAACCUUUAUUUUUCACCUUAGCUGGGAUUUGGACAAACAGUGGUGCAUAAUUUGGGGAAGUCCUGUCCUGGGCUGUAUCCAGAGUCUGGAGAGAGAGAGAGGGGAGAACUCAGAUCUUACGUGGGCUGAGCUGUGCCUGGAAGCUGCCCCUCUCCUUCCCUGUCCCUGAGGGAGCUGUGGGUGACCAGAUGACCACACUUCUCAUUCAGACCCCUCAGAAUACAUAGGAGUGCUUGCCCAGUGUCAAGCCUUUAUUACAGAAGUUGAAGCCACAAAACGUGAAGUAAAGGCAGAGGAGCAGAAAUACCAAGGACUUGGUGUACAUCUAUGUGUAAGAAGCUGCAGAUAGAGAUGUUCAGUUCUGUCACUGCUAUCACUCCUCAGGGCAGAUUCUUGUCUGCUCAAGUGAGACAGCAUUGUAUGACAGUAGGAUACAAUGGCAGCAGUUGCUGCCUCCUGCUAAGUCUGCAGAUAAUGCUGCACUUGGACCUUGACUGGCAUUAAGCCAUAUCCCAUUUAGUAUUUCAAAAUAUUUGUGAUAUAGGCUGUCUGACCAGCUUCUGGUAAAAAAAA